GCAAGUCGAGGGGUAACAGGGGUGCUUUCAUCCGCUGUCGACCGGCGCACGGGUGCGUAACGCGUAUAGAACUUACCUUUUACUGAGGGAUAGCCUUUAGAAAUGAAGAUUAAUACCUCAUAGUAUUGAGACUUGGCAUCAAGACUUAAUUAAAGAUUUAUCGGUAAAAGAUGGGUAUGCGUCCUAUUAGCUAGAUGGUGAGGUAACGGCUUACCAUGGCAACGAUAGUUAGGGGCCCUGAGAGGAGGAUC
rnacentral:rRNA from 1 species